rnacentral:rRNA from 1 species
UCCUACGGGGCGCAGCAGUGAGGAAUAUUGGUCAAUGGCCGGAAGGCUGAACCAGCCAAGCCGCGUGAAGGACGAAGGUGCCAAGCAUUGUAAACUUCUUUUGUCAAGGGACAAAAUCAGGCUCGAGAGCCUGACCGAGGGUACUUGAAGAAAAAGCAUCGGCUAACUCUGUGCCAGCAGCCGCGGUAAUACGGAGGAUGCGAGCGUUAUCCGGAUUUACUGGGUGUAAAGGGAGCGUAGACGGCAUAGCAAGUCUGAAGUGAAAGCCCGUGGCUCAACCGCGGAACUGCUUUGGAAACUGUUAA